AGAGUUUGAUCCUGGCUCAGGAUGAACGCUGGCGGCGUGCUUAACACAUGCAAGUCGAGCGGAGGUAAGAUAAAAGCUUGCUUUUAACUUAUCUUAGCGGCGGACGGGUGAGUAACGUGUGGGCAACCUGCCUCAUACAGAGGGAUAAUCAUGUGAAAACGUGACUAAUACCUCAUGUCAUUGCUAGAAGGCAUCUUCAGGCAAGAAAAGGAGUAAUCCGGUAUGAGAUGGGCCCGCAUCUGAUUAGCUAGUUGGUGAGAUAAUAGCCCACCAAGGCAACGAUCAGUAGCCGACCUGAGAGGGUGAUCGGCCACAUUGGGACUGAGACACGGCCCAAACUCCUACGGGAGGCAGCAGUGGGGAAUAUUGCACAAUGGGGGAAACCCUGAUGCAGCAACGCCGCGUGAAGGAAGACGGUUUUCGGAUUGUAAACUUCUAUCAAUAGGGACGAAAGAAAUGACGGUACCUAAAUAAGAAGCCCCGGCUAACUACGUGCCAGCAGCCGCGGU
rnacentral:rRNA from 1 species